AACGAACGCUGGCGGCAUGCCUAACACAUGCAAGUCGAACGAUGCCUUCGGGCAUAGUGGCGCACGGGUGCGUAACGCGUGGGAAUCUGCCCUUGGCUUCGGAAUAACAGUUAGAAAUGACUGCUAAUACCGGAUGAUGUCCCCCUGAGAGAUCAUGGGGACCAAAGAUUUAUCGGCCAGGGAUGAGCCCGCGUAGGAUUAGGUAGUUGGUGGGGUAAAGGCCUACCAAGCCGACGAUCCUUAGCUGGUCUGAGAGGAUGAUCAGCCACACUGGGACUGAGACACGGCCCAGACUCCUACGGGAGGCAGCAGUGGGGAAUAUUGGACAAUGGGGGGAACCCUGAUCCAGCAAUGCCGCGUGAGUGAUGAAGGCCUUAGGGUUGUAAAGCUCUUUUACCAGGGAUGAUAAUGACAGUACCUGGAGAAUAAGCUCCGGCUAACUCCGUG
rnacentral:rRNA from 1 species